rnacentral:rRNA from 1 species
AGUGAACGCUGGCGGUAGGCCUAACACAUGCAAGUCGAACGGCAGCACAGUAAGAGCUUGCUCUUACGGGUGGCGAGUGGCGGACGGGUGAGGAAUACAUCGGAAUCUACUUUUUCGUGGGGGAUAACAUAGGGAAACUUACGCUAAUACCGCAUACGACCUACGGGUGAAAGCAGGGGAUCUUCGGACCUUGCGCGAUUGAAUGAGCCGAUGUCGGAUUAGCUAGUUGGCGGGGUAAAGGCCCACCAAGGCGACGAUCCGUAGCUGGUCUGAGAGGAUGAUCAGCCACACUGGAACUGAGACACGGUCCAGACUCCUACGGGAGGUAGCAGUGGGGAAUAUUGGACAAUGGGCGCAAGCCUGAUCCAGCCAUACCGCGUGGGUGAAGAAGGCCUUCGGGUUGUAAAGCCCUUUUGUUGGGAAAGAAAAGCAGCAGGUUAAUACCCCGCUGUUCUGACGGUACCCAAAGAAUAAGCACCGGCUAACUUCGUG